CUCCCACCAAGCAGCACCUCCUUAACUUUCUUCCACCUUCCAGUGGCAACAUAGGCUGGGGACCAAGCCUUCAACACGCAGACCUUCAGGGUCUGACAUGCUGCUCAAGACAAGCCAGUAAAUGAGGCGUGCAUGGGGCUUCUGUUUUCAGAAGUUGAGAUUUAAGUCAAACAGGAAGCAAACGCUUUGGAUUUAGGAAUCCUGUGACAUUUGUGAUGUUGGCCAUCAUGGGUGAAACUGUAGAGCUGCGAGAGGCCAUUGUGAGCUGUGGUUGGCAAGGCCUGUCGAGAGAGAGAGAGAGAGACGGAGAGAGGAAUCCAUAUAGGUUCAAAAGCUCCCUGUCUCAAAAUGAGUGCAGAGACUCACAGUCCACUGGAAGGAAGCCCCAUGAGUCACCUCUCUUGACCGCUCCCCAGCUUCUAGGAAAACAAAAGAGAAACCCGGCUUGGACCUUACUGCCAUUACUACCACCAGUUCUGUCCACUUGGAACCUCCCCAAGUAUACUAUCCUUGCCAGUAACCUAGCCCCAGUCUCUCCAGGCACUUGGCCUUCCACCAAGCUGCACGCUUGGAUCUCUCCCAGCUGUACUGUGCCUACAGCAGGCAGUUCCCUCUUCUGGCUCUGCCUUUAUGGAACACUCCCAAGUGUCCUAUCCUUAUUUAUAAAAGUGAGCCUAGUGUACAGGAUGCUGUGCU